rnacentral:misc_RNA from 1 species
UUAUUGAUACAGUUUCUGUACUAUAUUGGUA